rnacentral:rRNA from 1 species
UACGUAGGGCGCAAGCGUUGUCCGGAAUUAUUGGGCGUAAAGAGCGUGUAGGCGGCCUGAAAGGUCAGCUGUGAAAACUCGAGGCUCAACCUCGAGACGUCGGUUGAAACCAUCUGGCUAGAGUCCGGAAGAGGAGAGUGGAAUUCCUGGUGUAGCGGUGAAAUGCGCAGAUAUCAGGAAGAACACCCGUGGCUAAGGCGGCUCUCUAGUACGGUACUGACGCUGAGACGCGAAAGCGUGGGGAGCGAACAGG